rnacentral:rRNA from 1 species
AGAGAUUGGGGCGUGCCCGAAAGGGAACCAGAACACAGGUGCUGCAUGGCUGUCGUCAGCUCGUGUCGUGAGAUGUUGGGUUAAGUCCCGCAACGAGCCCAACCCUUGUCAUUAGUUGCUACGAAAGGGCACUCUAAUGAGACUGCCGGUGACAAACCGGAGGAAGGUGGGGAUGACGUCAAGUCCUCAUGGCCCUUAUGUGUAGGGCUUCACACGUCAUACAAUGGUCGGUACAGAGGGUCGCCAACCCGCGAGGGGGAGCUAAUCCCAGAAAGCCGAUCGUAGUCCGGAUCGCAGUCUGCAACUCGACUGCGUGAAGUGGGAAUCGCUAGUAAUCGCAUAUCAGCUUGCCGCGGUGAAUACGUUCC